rnacentral:rRNA from 1 species
UAGGGAAUCUUCGGCAAUGGACGAAAGUCUGACCGAGCAACGCCGCGUGAGUGAAGAAGGUUUUCGGAUCGUAAAACUCUGUUGUUAGAGAAGAACAAGGACGUUAGUAACUGAACGUCCCCUGACGGUAUCUAACCAGAAAGCCACGGCUAACUACGUGCCAGCAGCCGCGGUAAUACGUAGGUGGCAAGCGUUGUCCGGAUUUAUUGGGCGUAAAGCGAGCGCAGGCGGUUUCUUAAGUCUGAUGUGAAAGCCCCCGGCUCAACCGGGGAGGGUCAUUGGAAACUGGGAGACUUGAGGGCAGAAGAGGAGAGUGGAAUUCCGUGUGUAGCGGUGAAGUGCGUAGAUAUAGGGGGGAACACCAGUGGCGAAGGCGGCUCUCUGGUCUGUAACUGACGCUGAGGCUAGAAAGCGUGGAGAGCAAACAGG